rnacentral:misc_RNA from 1 species
CAAAAAGAAACCAUUAAGACUUUAAUAUUAACUCAAGUCUAAGUACAAAUAUAUUCCUACCCCAAAAGAGACUAAUAAAUUAAAAAGAAUUUAUGAAUUAAAUGAAAUAUUAAAUCUAAGCUAACAAAUUAAAGAGUUCAUGAUAAUAGAAAACCUAACAAACAGCUUCAACAGCAAGCCUGUAACUAUCAGCUUUGCAACGUAAAGGUCCAAAAGCAUCUUCAGUGACAUGAAGAACACACUUUUCAUUUCCAAGACAAGCCUGUUCAACAACUGAUAAAGCUUUCUCAGAGUGGCAUGUGCUAUUGCUGAAAUACCCACAGCUACCCUCAGGUAAACCAAAGCUAGCAAAUUUGAUGUUAGAAAAUUUGCUUCCUGGUUGGCAAGCUAACUCCAAAGUAUGACCUUCAUAAGCAUUUGCACAAACUUUACCAACAGUGACAGUUUGGAAGCUAACAAGAGAUGGGGUGCCUCCUAAUUCUUCAAACAAAAUCAGCUGAUUAUUAUCUGCAUUUAGCCAGUCUCUAGGGACAUGGUAGUAUCUUUGUGAAGGUUUCCCACACCCAGUGUUGCAUUUCUCUGGCCUAUAUGAUGCUCUAUAGUCACAAGUUACAUCACAUCCUUCUUCUGGGGAUACAUACUUAGGCCAAUACCUCCCAAUGCUACGCCCAUUAAUCCAAGCAGCUCCCUUCCCCAACCCAAGCAAGUCCACCACUACAGGAUCUGAUCCCAUUGGACCCUUAAAGGUUGUCUGUAUAAACACAAGAAGAAACUCCAUUUAGAGCAAUGCAUUCCAUUUUCAGAACUAGAGAUCAAUAAUAUAUAAGGGUUACCUUGUACCAAACGAAAGGCCGAUUAUUUGGAAGCUGAUAAGUUUCCCAUUGAAAAAUAUGACGAGGAUCAACUUGGUAAAUUCCUUGAUCUUCACCAAUUAAUCCAGUCUUGUAAACCCAUCUGGUUGAUGAAAUAUCGUUAACCACAUCUGGUUCCCCAGUUUUACUUCUUGCAAUCAAUUUUACAGGACCAUGAAUUCCAACUCUUGCUGUGUCAAAAUUCUCACCAUAGUUAGGUAAUCCAACAGUUACACUGGCUAAGGAGAUUGAAUUAUUCCCAUCUUUCAAAUCAAUGCUUUUCUCAAAAACAAAUUCAUAAUGACCAGUUUGUGCCCAUUGUGAACCAUAGUAUUUUCCAUUAACAAAAGCAUGAACAACAUGCCCAUUAGUGUGAACGUGGAGAAUUAUAUCCUUGUCAUUUCCCCAUUGAGAAUCACUAGCAUUAUGCACAUAGUUGGUCAAAAGCCACAAGUAAUCAUUGGAACCAUUAGCAGCCCUUUUUUGAUCCAUGAGAACGUUGGAAACCAAUGAAGAACUACUCUGAAGUUGGCCUUCAUUAUCAAGGUGAGGGAUUUUCUCCUCUUUCCAUUGCCAUGACAAAGCAUAAGGCUCCUCAGAAUCAUCUGCUCCGUUUGGCCUCUUCUCCAUGAUACUAGUUUGAGCAUUAACCUUGGCAGUGUUGUAAACUUCUGUGUAGCAGUCAGGAAGGAUACUAACAGACCAUGCAGGAAUCGAGUAGUUUUUCCCUUCAAAUGUUAAUAUCUGAUCAUUCUUCUCAUCUGUGUUAGAGAAGAAGCAACUUCUCUUUCCUUGAUAAGCAUAAAUGGUGACAUAUUUAUUAUUCUGGUAAUCCACAGAUGUUCUCUCACCAUAGGUGAGAGCUUCUUCCAUUGACAUUAAUGUCAGAUGAAGGUCCCUAAG